GAUGAACGCUGGCGGCGUGCCUAAUACAUGCAAGUCGAGCGAACAGACGAGGAGCUUGCUCCUCUGACGUUAGCGGCGGACGGGUGAGUAACACGUGGAUAACCUACCUAUAAGACUGGGAUCACUUCGGGAAACCGGAGCUAAUACCGGAUAAUAUAUUGAACCGCAUGGUUCAAUAGUGAAAGACGGUUUUGCUGUCACUUAUAGAUGGAUCCGCGCCGCAUUAGCUAGUUGGUAAGGUAACGGCUUACCAAGGCGACGAUGCGUAGCCGACCUGAGAGGGUGAUCGGCCACACUGGAACUGAGACACGGUCCAGACUCCUACGGGAGGCAGCAGUAGGGAAUCUUCCGCAAUGGGCGAAAGCCUGACGGAGCAACGCCGCGUGAAUGAUGAAGGUCUUCGGAUCGUAAAACUCUGUUAUUAGGGAAGAACAAAUGUGUAAGUAACUAUGCACGUCUUGACGGUACCUAAUCAGAAAGCCACGGCUAACUACGUG
rnacentral:rRNA from 1 species